AAGAGUUGAAGACCUCAGUGAAUAUUUAUAAGUGUAUCGGAGAAGUUGCCCGUUAACAUGUCAGAAGAUGAAGAUACGACCUUGAACGCCACAAAUCCUGAGUCUGUCGAACCAUCUGGAGCCUCGCUCAGCUCAGGUAUGAGCCAGUCAGCAUCAGAACUCUCUGGCAAAGUACCAGAAAACAGCCCAGUAAAAGUAAAAGUGACAACGGAAGUGGUGUUGCUGAUAACACUACUAAUACUGGCAAGGAAAAAGUGCAGGUAAAACGACCGACAACCAGGAUUGUUCAGUCACGAUUUAAAAUGCAGGUGCCAUUUCAAAGGACAGCAGUGGCGGAAGUAAUAGCAGUGGUAAUAAAUCCAACAGUGCUGGCUUAGUAGACUUCAGAAGAGUGGCCUCAACAAUACUCUGACAACAAGUACAUCCAUUUUUAGGGAAGAAACAAAUUCAAAAACCAAAGCCUGUGAGAUCAACACAUGCAUCAAAACUUGGCCCCACAAGUCGAUCUUCAAGUGUGCUAAAAAUAUCAGGAUCAGGAAGUCAGGCUAGCCAUCAAGGAGCUUCUCUUUUGCCACAAGCUAAUCUAGAAUCAAAAUCAAAUAAACUAGAUGCAAAGAAGUCAUCCAGGGCUUCAUCUAUACAGGCUAGCAAUGCUAAAUUACACUCUACUGUUCUAAAUGCCACCAUGCUCUCAGAUUUAACUGCUGUAAAGAAUUAUGAGAAUGU